rnacentral:rRNA from 1 species
CCCUUCGGGGUGUGACUGCGUACCUUUUGUAUAAUGGGUCAGCGACUUAUAUUCUGUAGCAAGGUUAACCGAAUAGGGGAGCCGGAGGGAAACCGAGUCUUAAUUGGGCGUUAAGUUGCAGGGUAUAGACCCGAAACCCGGUGAUCUAGCCAUGGGCAGGUUGAAGGUUGGGUAACACUAACUGGAGGACCGAACCGACUAAUGUUGAAAAAUUAGCGGAUGACCUGUGGCUGGGGGUGAAAGGCCAAUCAAACCGGGAGAUAGCUGGUUCUCCCCGAAAGCUAUUUAGGUAGCGCCUCGUGAAUUCAUCUCCGGGGGUAGAGCACUGUUUCGGCUAGGGGGCCAUCCCGGCUUACCAACCCGAUGCAAACUGCGAAUACCGGAGAAUGUUAUCACGGGAGACACACGGCGGGUGCUAACGUCCGUCGUGAAGAGGGAAACAACCCAGACCGCCAGCUAAGGUCCCAAAGUCAUGGUUAAGUGGGAAACGAUGUGGGAAGGCCCAGACAGCCAGGAUGUUGGCUUAGAAGCAGCCAUCAUUUAAAGAAAGCGUAAUAGCUCACUGGUCGAGUCGGCCUGCGCGGAAGAUGUAACGGGGCUAAACCAUGCACCGAAGCUGCGGCAGCGAACGUAUCACUUAAAGCGAUUCAGCGGGUUACGAUUGACGGAGCGAAGCGACGUCAAAGCGUAUACAAAGUCGAGUCGGUUUAAGGAUACGUUCGUUGGGUAGGGGAGCGUUCUGUAAGCCUGCGAAGGUGGCCUGUGAGGGUUGCUGGAGGUAUCAGAAGUGCGAAUGCUGACAUAAGUAACGAUAAAGCGGGUGAAAAGCCCGCUCGCCGGAAGACCAAGGGUUCCUGUCCAACGUUAAUCGGGGCAGGGUGAGUCGACCCCUAAGGCGAGGCCGAAAGGCGUAGUCGAUGGGAAACGGGUUAAUAUUCCCGUACUUGGUGUUACUGCGAAGGGGGGACGGAGAAGGC